GUCUACAGCCAUACCACCCUGAACAUGCCUGAUCUCAUCUGAUCUCAGAAGCUAAUAAACAAAGAAGUCACACCUAGAAACAUCGUAGUCU
ensembl:rRNA 5S_rRNA 5S ribosomal RNA